UUUGCCCCCCCCCCCAAAAUGGGGGUGAUUCGGGUUUGCCCCCCCCUUACUUGAGGUUGGAGAGCUCCAGGAUGAGGCCGCGGACGAUGUCGGUUGCGUCCUCCCCGGGUGGGGGCUCCGGGACCCUGGGGGGGAGGACCAGGGGGGGUGAGGAGAGCACUGGGGGCCACGUUUUGGGGUUAAAACGAGCAUUUUUGGCCCGGCAGCGUGCGGUGCCCCUUACCCAGGCUGUGCCCGCGGCGCGGUGCUGCUGAGCGCUGGGGGGUGGCCGCAUCCUGCGGCAUCCCGUGGCCCGGUGGGGGGUGUCUGGGGGGGUCGGGGACACCAGGAGGGGUUUUGGGGGGGCUCGAGGCGGCGCGGGGGUCGCCGCGUCCCCCCCCCGGGGUGUUUUGGGGUGCGUUACCUGCGGGGGCGCCGCGCCGUCGGCGUUUGGGGCGUCCCUCACCGCACCGGGGGGCCGCGGCUCUGCCUCCGCCGUGCCCCCCCCCAGCACCGCAGCACCCCGGGGUCCUGGGUCCCUGAGCUCCUUGGCCUCCUCCUGGCCCCCCCGUGGGACCCCCGGGGGGGGGCAGCGCCCCCAGACCUCCGCUGGGCUCCCGCUCGGCUCCACGGCCCCGCUUGGGCGCUCAGCACUGGCGGCGGCGCCGCCGUCUGCAUCGGUGCGGUGGCGUCCGGGAGUCACUGGGGGCUGGGGGCUGCCGGUGCUGGUGGUGGUGGUGGUGCUGGUGGUGCUGGUGUCGAUGCUGGGGUAGGUGCUGGUGCUGGUGGUGGUGGUGGUGCUGGUAUCGGUGCUGGUGCUCAUGCCAGUGCUGGUACCGGUGCCAUUGCUGGUGCCGGUGGUGGUGCCGGUGGUGGUGCUGGGGUCAUUGCUAGUGCUGGUGCCAGUACUGGUGCUGGCAUCCGUGCCGGUGGUGGUGCUGGGGUCAGUGCUGGUACUGGUGCUGGUGCCGGUGGUGGUGCUGGUGCUGGCACUGGUGCUGGUUUCGGUGCUGGUGUCGGUGCCAGUGCUGGGGUCAGUGUCAGUACUGGUACUGGUGCUGGGGUCAGUGCCAG
ensembl:lncRNA